UUUGGUAAGUAGCUGGUCAAAGAUCCCGGCUCAACCGGGAAAAGGCUGGUUAAACUACCAGACUAGAAGACUGUAGGGGAUGUUGGAACUCCACAAGUAGGAGUGAAAUCCGUUGAUAUGUGGAGGAACACCAAGGGCGAAGGCAGACAUCUGGACAGUUUUUGACGCUCAGGAACGAAAGCUAGGGGAGCGAAAGGGAUUAGAGACCCCUGUAGUCCUAGCCGUAAACAAUCCCCGCUAGAUAUGGGCGAAAUUUCGUCCGUGUCGUAAGCUAACGCGUUAAGCGGGGCGCCUGGGAAGUACGGUCGCAAGGCUAAAACUCAAAGGAAUUGACGGGGACCUGCACAACCAGUGGAGCAUGUGGUUCAAUUCGAAACGAAGCGAAGGACCUUACCUGGGCUUGACAUGCCAGCGUUCUAGGUCGAAGAAACUCGACCAAUUCGCAAGAAGGCUGGCACAGCUGCUGCAUGGCUGUCGUCAGCUCGUGCCGUGGGGUGUUCCCUUAAGUGGGGUAACGAGCGCAACCCUUGCCCCGUGUUAAAUAGUCACGGGGGACAGGGUCGAAUAUUUCGACCAGGAAGGAGAGGAUGACGUCAAGUCAGCACGGUGCUUAUGUCCAGGGCUACACACAUCCUACAAUGGGUAAGACAGCGGGUUGCCAAGCCGCAAGGCGGAGCUAAUCCCUUAAACUUACCCUAAGUUCGGAUUGUGGGCUGAAACUCGCCCACAUGA
rnacentral:rRNA from 1 species